rnacentral:rRNA from 1 species
UACGGGGGGUGCGAGCGUUGUCCGGAAUCACUGGGCGUAAAGGGCGCGUAGGUGGCAUGAUAAGGGUGUGGUGAAAGCCCGGGGCUCAACCCCGGGUCGGCCAUGCCGACUGUCACGCUGGAGUACUGUAGGGGCAGGCGGAAUUCCGGGUGUAGCGGUGGAAUGCGUAGAGAUCCGGAGGAAGACCGGUGGCGAAGGCGGCCUGCUGGGCAGUUACUGACACUGGAUCG